AGGCUUUAAAUCGGGAAAACAAUUGCUUAUAUCAGAGGUGUCGCUUCGGCGACUAUGGCGAUAAACGGUGCAUUUAGUAGCUAUUGCGGACCCGGGGGCAGUACCCGGCGCCUCCACCAGGAACGGCCUGCUGACCUGGACAGUCAAGGCCUACGGUCAACAGACCGUUGCUGAUGGGGGCGAACCAGGAUCG
rnacentral:tmRNA from 1 species